rnacentral:RNase_P_RNA from 2 species
GCGGAGGGCCGGAUGGCCGCUGGGGUCGUAAGACCCGAGAGGAAAGUCCGGACUCCACAAGGCAACGGUGCCGGGUAACGCCCGGGCGGGGAAACCCGAUGGAAAGCGCCACAGAAAUCAAACCGCCACACGCGUGUGGCAAGGGUGAAACGGUGGGGUAAGAGCCCACCGCGCCGCUGGCAACAGCGGCGGCACGGCAAGCCCCACCGGGAGCAAUGCCGAAUAGGGUCCCCGCGCGGGCCGGUCGGUGCAAACCGAUACCGCCGCUAGGCACGCCUUGGCCGAGAGGGACCGGGUUGGCAGCUUGAGCCGCGCAGCAAUGCACGGCCUAGAGGAAUGGUCAUCGAAGGGGGCAACCCCGGAACAGGAUCCGGCUUACAGGCCCUCCGCGCAU